CCUACGGGGGGCAGCAGUGGGGGAUAUUGCACAAUGGGGGGAACCCUGAUGCAGCGACGCCGCGUGGGUGAAGAAGCGCCUCGGCGCGUAAAGCUCUGUCAGCAGGGAAGAAAAUGACGGUACCUGAAGAAGAAGCCCCGGCUAACUACGUGCCAGCAGCCGCGGCAAUACGUAGGGGGCAAGCGUUAUCCGGAUUUACUGGGUGUAAAGGGGGCGCAGGCGGCGAUGCAAGCCAGGAGUGAAAGCCCGGGGUCCAACCCCGGGACUGCUGUUGGAACUGCGUGGCUGGAGUGCAGGAGGGGAAGGCGGAAUGCCUGGUGUAGCGGUGAAAUGCGUAGAUAUCAGGAAGAACACCGGUGGCGAAGGCGGCCUGCUGGACUGCAACUGACGUUGAGGCCCGAAAGCGUGGGGAGCAAACAGGAUUAGAUACCCUUGUAGUC
rnacentral:rRNA from 1 species